ensembl:lncRNA novel transcript
UACUUAGACAGACUAUGAAGAGAUACAUAGGGUGAGAAACGGAGGCCUUCAGCCAACAGCUGGGAGAAGCUGAGUCCCAUCAGCCAUUCAAAAGACUGCAGCCCCAGCCAAGAGUUUGAUGUAACCUCAGGAGAGACCCUGAGCCAGAACCACCUAGAAAAGCUGGGAUACAUGAAGACUGCCAUCCCUUGAGUCACUUGCCCUGUAGCUGCCACUGUUGGAAAAGGGCUUGCUUCUGUGUCCUUGUGCCCACUUUGAAAAUCCCUGGGAAGUCCUUGGAGUCAGAUGAGCAGGCCUCCGCCACUCUGCCAAAAAGUCUGUUCAGAAGUUUCACAUCACUAGAGAAGAGAGAAGAAGGACAUUUGUACUGGGAGGAGUCGACCGGUCCCAGUAAGGAGAAAGUAGCUACAGCGUCAUGGGUGAGCUGGGUCCCCCAAAAAGGAACUUUAAGGGAAUGGACUGAAUCAAGUCUGAGAUGUCCCCAAAGCAAGACCAAAGAACUGAGGAAGAGAAGCAUUCAUCAGAAACCAAAAUUCAGCUACAAGUGAGCAUCCAGAUGGAGGUAUUAUGAAGAGGAACUGAGACUGAGGGCAAAAGGUGCCAGCCAGAAUCCUGGAUAGGAGAGCAAGAACCAGGACCUCAUUUAAGAGACAACCUGCUUAAGGCAGAGUAAGAAUUGAUAAAAGCACCCCUAAGGGAGCUGAUGGCUUACAGAAUUACUUCCAAGAGGAAACUCUUUCACUCAGAUGACUGCAAACUGGAUCAAACUGAACUCCACAAGCACGCUGCAUUUUGAAAAGUAAUUGUGCUCAGGAUCGUCCUGGCUGCUGUGUUGUAAACAGACUACCUGGGCUAAAGGGCAGAAGGAGAUCAGUUAUGGCAAUCCUGGCUACUGAUGAUGAAAACUUGGACCCAGGAGUUGCAAUGGAAGCAAUGAAAAGAGCAGAAGUUUCUGGAUUCAUUUUAAAUUUAGAACUGACCAGUAUUAACAGGUGCAGUCUUGUAAGGUGAUUGAGUUAUGAUGGCUCCACCUUCACAUGUGGGAUUAGCACCCUUUUAAGAGGGCUCCAAGUGGAAGGGAGCACUCUCUUGCUCUUCUGCUCUUCUGCCAUGUGAGACGGCAGUGCUCCUCCCCUCCAGAGGACGCAACAAUAAGAUGCCAUCUUGGAAGCUGAAAGCAGCCCUCACCAGAUGCCACUUCUGCUAGUGCCUUGAUCUUGAACUUUCCAGCCUCCAGAAUCAUGAGAAAUAAAUUUCUAUUGUUCAUAAA